UGACAACAGUGGAUUCUGAAUGAGCGCCUAUAAAACAUCUAUUCUCUCUUCUGAGAGCACCAUUCCAAUGUUCUUGGAGGGGAACUACCAUCUCUCACGUGUGUUCCAGGGUGCAGGAGAGGAGAACUCCAGUCCCAGUCCCAGGGGCAUCUGAUGAGAGUAGAUUCUGUGAAUCUUUUUUCACUGCUACACGUAUGAUACCCAGCCCAGCUCUUGGUAUAGAAAAAGAUGUCCAAAAGAUAUUCAUUGCAUGACUGAAAGACUGAACAGCCAAUGGACCAAUGAAGUGACAGACCAAAUAAUUGCUAGAACCACAGACCAAACGAUGAAUGACCAACUGAGUGAUUCAAUGAAUGAAGGAAUGAACAUAUGAACGAAUGAUGGAGACUGGUCAUGUAAAUUCAACUGGAUAUGAAAAUAUUGUCCUAGCAUGACAACAGAUGAGACUAUUAAAUAUAGGAUUUUAACUUGGAAAAUGUAAGGUCUUUAGGAGGAUAUAUAAUACUUGUUUUUUGAAUAUCUUAGAAUUCAGUUCUUCCUCCACCCCCAUCAAUGAUAGGAUGGGUGAUAAUACACUACUGGAAAACAUUACUCAUUCCACACUCACAUGGCCCUCAAAUUGCACAUCCCUCCCACUCUCCAUCAUGAACCAGAAUCUGCUUGACAGUUUCUGGCCUCAGCGUGUCUAUCUAUGUCAGAUGACAUCAUGGCCCAACCAUGUGUCUUGGGCUGUGAGAACAACUUGGGGAAAUCAACAAGAAGUCCCAGAUCUUUUGAUGCCUAAUUUCUGAUAACUAAGAAUCUUUCCUGAAAUCUCCCAUCCACCCCUUUCUUCUUGGUGAGCUCAUCUUGUCUUUCCAGAAAGGCUGAUCAGUGGCAAGGCAUUGCUGGACUUCGUCAGGGGGAUUUGGUGUCUUCAUACCUUGUUCAUCAGCCACAGGACACACUCAUCUUUCAAGAGUUCUGGAAUUCUGCCCAUGAAUGUCUGAACAUUCUGCUGCAAUCCCAAAGGACCUCUUAGAAUGUACAUGUUUAGUCACAGAAGAUCCAAGCUGUUUUUAAAUUAAAACCUGCCUCGAAUGAACAUAAAAUGACCAGUGAGCUGUAUUUUGACUAUCCUCCUAAGAAUCUUGUGACUGUAACAACACAAAUAGAACACUCGUUAAUGCCAUUUUCCUGGUGUAAGGGAAGGGGAGAGACUACCAAAUGCAGGCUGAUGAAAACCAUAAAGGUCACUAGGAAGAUUUUCUAAAAGAACCAAGUGUGAUGGCUACUUGCCUGGAAAUUAGUAAAUAAUAAUUAUGCAGUUAUGACAUCUUUUCUAUGUCAGGCAAGAGACUGCAUACUUUCUAUACAUCAGCACAUUUAAUCUGCCUGGAAGUACUAUGAUAUUGGUAUUAGUGCUUCUAUUGUACAGGUAGGUAAGUUGAGUUUCCAAAUAGGUGCCCAUGCAGGGAUGAGAACCAAAUGUGCCUGACUUCAAACCUGAUGUUCCUACCCCUCCAAUAGGCUGCAACACAGCACCUGAGAUAAGGGAAAGCAUGACUGCUGACAAAGUGGAAUGGAACUGUAGAAUAUAACUUAGGCAGGACAAAACAGUACCUGAAGUCUAGAGGGGAAAAGACCUUGUGAACACAUGACCAACAGUUUUCCAAUAGAUCAACUGUCAUCCUAUAAGAAAGGGAGAGCCCUUCCAAUAGAUCACAAAGGCUGGAAAGAACAGGUAGGGUCUAGGAAGACAGAUGGAAGCCAAGGUGACACAGAACUCUGUAACAGUGAGAGAUGUUCACAACUGAGAGAAUGAGUUCUUGAACACGGGAAGUGUCCAAGCAGAGGGUAGGUGCUAAAACAGUGGAUGGUAUACCUUUGAGGUCCUGGCCCUCUGUCUGAAUUGGGUAGAUGUCCACUAACCAUCUGAGAAGCUUACCCCUAUUUGUGCCCAAUCACCAUCUGCCACAAGCAUGCAAGUAAAACCAUGUCUGCAGAAACAGUCUAACACAAGUUUUAUCUCCCUGAGGCUACAGGAGGGAAUCAUGGGAACUGUUACUCUGAAUCUCUUUGUGAUAAACAAGGAAGAACUGGGGGACAUUGGAAGGGAGAGAAAUCUUGGGAGAGGAAGGAAACCAUGGGUAUUACUUUGUGCCAAGCCAUGGGUUGGGUGCUUCACACAUGCUUCCUCAUAAAGCAGGGUGCUGCUGUUUGAAAGUAGGGCUGAUCAUUUCCAUCCUACAGCUAAAAUAGUUAAGAGGAAAAAGUUAAUUUGCCCAUAGCCACAUGGCUAAUAAAUAGGAUAUAACCAAGGCUCAAACUCAGAUAUGCCUGACUUCAAAACCCUCAUUCUUUUCUCAAUGGUUUGCUGCCAAACCCAGUGAGGGAGUUUGGGCAGGAUAUUGAGAGAAGGUGCUUAGGACAGGUGGAUUUGGAUGAGCAGAAGAAGAAUAAGAAGGCUGCAGAAUGCAGUAAAACACAAGAGAGUAGGUCAGAAUUUGAUGCUCAGACAGGCAAUUUAAUCACUGAGCAAAGGCAGGCAACAGAGAGGAAAUGGAUCAAGCCAGACAUCAUCUCUUUCACAUAGCAUUCUACUUUUGACCUUGAACCCAAGCCAUAGAACUGGUUCCAAAUUACGAGUGAUACAAGUUCUUAAAUAGAACCUCAGACAUUUUAAUCUGAACAAAACCCAUAUAUGUCAACUUUGCCCCAAGGGUAAUAUACAGAAAAAUAUACAUUUUUUUUCUCCAGAGUAUCCCAUGAUUUCAAUAUCCCAUAAAGAGAUGUUACCAGGUAACAUAGGUUCAUAAGGCUUUGGAAAAUUAAGAUGCCAAGAUGGUAAACAG